rnacentral:rRNA from 1 species
GGGCCCGCACAAGCGGCGGAGCAUGCGGAUUAAUUCGAUGCAACGCGAAGAACCUUACCAAGGCUUGACAUUCACCGGACCGCUCCAGAGAUGGGGUUUCCCUUCGGGGUCGGUGGACAGGUGGUGCAUGGUUGUCGUCAGCUCGUGUCGUGAGAUGUUGGGUUAAGUCCCGCAACGAGCGCAACCCUCGUUCUAUGUUGCCAGCACGUGAUGGUGGGGACUCAUAGGAGACUGCCGGGGUCAACUCGGAGGAAGGUGGGGAUGACGUCAAAUCAUCAUGCCCCUUAUGUCUUGGGCUUCACGCAUGCUACAAUGGCCGGUACAAAGGGUUGCGAUACUGUGAGGUGGAGCUAAUCCCAAAAAGCCGGUCUCAGUUCGGAUUGAGGUCUGCAACUCGACCUCAUGAAGUCGGAGUCGCUA